AGUUUUUGGUAUCAUGAGCAAAAAAUAACUAUUAGCUAUAGUUAUAUAAUUUAAAAUGCUGACUUAAUAUAUAUUUAUUUAAUCCUAUAAACAAAAAAUUUAUUCAUUUAGAAAUUAUAAUGUUUUAAAUUAACCUAUGAAUAAAAACUAUUUAUUUGAUCAACAAGCAAUGCAAUAUAGUUUUAUGAUACAUUCAUUGCACGUGAUUUAAAUGUUAUAAAUUAAUUAAUGAGCUUAAUUCCCAAACCUUUAGAUUUUUGUCUUUUCUUUAUCUACUUUUUAAGUCUAUUCAACUAAUUUUCUUGAAUUCAACUUUAUAAAUGUAAUAUAAACAAAAAAAAAGGAUAAAUGAAAUGUGUGUUGUGGUGGGGCGAUUUAUUUUUAGGUUUAGGUUUUCACAUUUAAAUAAGAUUUAUUUAUUAAAUAGUCUUAUUUAAUAAGAUUUUC
rnacentral:misc_RNA from 1 species